AUGCCUAAGAGAAAUGCUGAAGGGGAUGCUAAAACAAAUAAAGCCAAAAGGUGAAGGACAAACCAUAGAGAAGAUCCGCGAGGUUGUCUGCUAAACCUGCUCCUCCAAAGCCAGAGCCCAAGCCUGAAAAGGCCCCUGCAAAUAAGGGAGAGAAGGUACUCAAAGGGAAAAAGGGAAAAGCUGAUGCUGGCAAGGAGGGGAAUAAACUUGCAGAGAAUGGAGAUGCCAAAGAGAAUAGGCACAGAAAGCUGAAGGUGCUGCAGAUGCCAAGUGA
rnacentral:lncRNA from 1 species